CAAACUGAAGAUGGCGGCCGGGCGCACGGGUGAGUAACACGUAUCCAACCUGCCGAUAACUCCGGAAUAGCCUUUCGAAAGAAAGAUUAAUACCGGAUAGUAUACGAAUAUCGCAUGAUAUUUUUAUUAAAGAAUUUCGGUUAUCGAUGGGGAUGCGUUCCAUUAGUUUGUUGGCGGGGUAACGGCCCACCAAGACUACGAUGGAUAGGGGUUCUGAGAGGAAGGUCCCCCACAUUGGAACUGAGACACGGUCCAA
rnacentral:rRNA from 1 species